CAUUGCAACAAGACGUCAACAACAACAACAUUCAGUGAACAACCCAAAAAUGCAUUAAAUGUAAAAACCCAACUGAAACGUAUGCCUCAAAACUGAAAGAACAUCAACCAAUAGAGAAGAAACAAUACAACUCAUGGAAUACGGAUGAAGAAGGUUUCACUCUUCAGAGAAGACGCAGGAAAAUAAUAUAUUGGGUACUGGGAAAGUAGAAGAUCUGAAUGAAAAUGGAUUUGCAGGUAUUGAAAAGAAGGUUUGGAUCAACAUACAUCGUGUUAAAGUUCAUGUGACAAGCAGUAUGAACAUUGGAAAUGAGAAAAUGAACUGAAAAUCAUGUCAUAACCAACUUCACACACAGAGCCUAUUUUUGUAGGUAACAGGGAGAGCAUGGAGGUGUAGCAAUUUAUGUACAAAGAUUUGAAGGUUACCGAACAUGCAGAAAUACGUGAUAUAUCAGUUAAGGGAUACUUCGAAUGUGCUGGAGUGGAAUUUCAAGUAAACAAUAAGAAGAUAUUGUGUGUAAUCUGUUAAAAUGAUGGCAACACUGAUGUUUUUCUCAAUAAACUGCUUCUGGUGUUGAGUA